rnacentral:ribozyme from 13 species
UUUUUUUUUUUUUUUUUUUUUUUUUUUUUUUUUUUUUUUUUGGUAGUUUGCUGUCACUUUACUUUCAACUCAAUCUGCGGAGGGCUUCGAAGUCCUGCAUAUCACAGUUGUGCGAGAAUUGUAAACGAUU